rnacentral:rRNA from 1 species
UACGUAGGGGGCAAGCGUUAUCCGGAUUUACUGGGUGUAAAGGGAGCGUAGACGGUCCUGCAAGCCAGAUGUGAAAGCCCGGGGCUCAACCCCGGGACUGCAUUUGGAACUGUAAGGCUAGAGUGUCGGAGAGGCAGGCGGAAUUCCUAGUGUAGCGGUGAAAUGCGUAGAUAUUAGGAGGAACACCAGUGGCGGAGGCGGCCUGCUGGACGAUGACUGACGUUGAGGCUCGAAAGCGUGGGGAGCAAACAGG